rnacentral:rRNA from 1 species
CCUACGGGUGGCUGCAGUGAGGAAUAUUGGUCAAUGGACGAGAGUCUGAACCAGCCAAGUAGCGUGAAGGAUGACUGCCUUAUGGGUUGUAAACUUCUUUUAUAUGGGACUAAAACGUUCCACGUGUGGGAUUUUGUAUGUACCAUAUGAAUAAGGAUCGGCUAACUCCGUGCCAGCAGCCGCGGUAAUACGGAGGAUCCGAGCGUUAUCCGGCUUUAUUGGGUUUAAAGGGAGCGUAGGUGGAUUGUUAAGUCAGUUGUGAAAGUUUGCGGCUCAACCGUAAAAUUGCAGUUGAAACUGGCAGUCUUGAGUACAGUAGAGGUGGGCGGAAUUCGUGGUGUAGCGGUGAAAUGCUUAGAUAUCACGAAGAACUCCGAUUGCGAAGGCAGUUCACUGGACUGCAACUGACACUGAGGCUCGAAAGUGUGGGUAUCAAACAGGAUUAGAUACCCUUGUAGUC